rnacentral:rRNA from 1 species
UACGUAGGGUGCGAGCGUUGUCCGGAAUUAUUGGGCGUAAAGGGCUCGUAGGCGGUUUGUCGCGUCGGGAGUGAAAUCCACUGGCUUAACUGGUGGCUUGCUUUCGAUACGGGCAGACUGGAGGUAUGCAGGGGGAGAACGGAAUUCCUGGUGUAGCGGUGAAAUGCGCAGAUAUCAGGAGGAACACCGGUGGCGAAGGCGGUUCUCUGGGCAUGUCCUGACGCUGAGGAGCGAAAGUGUGGGAGGCGAACAGG